GAAGCAAAAGUCGUAACAAGGUCUCCGUAGGUGAACCUGCGGAGGGAUCAUUACAGUGUUCUCGCCCUCGCGGGUAGAUCUCCCACCCACUGUUAUCGUUACUGUGUUGCUUUGGCGGGCCGCCGGGCCCCGCUCGGCCGCCGGCUCCGGCUGGCGCGCGCCCGCCAGAGGCCCAGCAAACUCUGAAUGUUAGUGUCGUCUGAGUACUAUAUAAUAGUUAAAACUUUCAACAACGGAUCUCUUGGUUCUG
rnacentral:misc_RNA from 1 species